UACAGAGGUCUCAAGCGUUGUUCGGAUUCAUUGGGCGUAAAGGGUGCGUAGGCGGCGCGGUAAGUCGGGUGUGAAAUCUCGGGGCUUAACUCCGAAACUGCAUUCGAUACUGCGGUGCUUGAGGACUGGAGAGGAGACUGGAAUUUACGGUGUAGCGGUGAAAUGCGUAGAUAUCGUAAGGAAGACCAGUGGCGAAGGCGGGUCUCUGGACAGUUCCUGACGCUGAGGCACGAAGGUCAGGGGAGCAAACGGG
rnacentral:rRNA from 1 species